CUCAUCCAAAGAGUCUCUUAAAAAUCAAAGAAGACUCAUGGCAGAAGAAAUUCUCAUGGCAUCAGUUUCAAAGGAUGAGUUCUGCUCCUUCUGUGGAAAUAAGAACCUGCCUGCUGGAGAUGAUGUUUGGAUUCAGUGUGGAAAUUGC